rnacentral:rRNA from 1 species
CCUACGGGCGGCAGCAGUGGGGAAUAUUGGGCAAUGGGCGCAAGCCUGACCCUGCAACGCCGCGUGAAGGAAGAAGGCCCUCGGGUUGUAAACUUCUUUUAUCAGGGACGAAGCAAGUGACGGUACCUGAUGAAUAAGCCACGGCUAACUACGUGCCAGCAGCCGCGGUAAGACGUCGGUGGCAAGCGUUAUCCGGAUUUACUGGGUGUAAAGGGUGUGUAGGCGGGAGUGCAAGUCAGAUGUGAAAACUAUGGGCCCAACCCAUAGCCUGCAUUUGAAACUGGACGUCUUGAGUGCUGGAGAGGCAAUCGGAAUUCGGGGUGUAGCGGUGAAAUGCGUAGAUAUACGGAAGAACACCAGUGGCGAAGGCGGAGUGCUGGACAGUAACUGACGCUGAGGCGCGAAAGCGUGGGGAGCGAACAGGAUUAGAUACCCCUGUAGUC